rnacentral:rRNA from 1 species
UGGGGAAUAUUGCACAAUGGGCGCAAGCCUGAUGCAGCCAUGCCGCGUGUGUGAAGAAGGCCUUCGGGUUGUAAAGCACUUUCAGCGGGGAGGAAGGCGUUAAGGUUAAUAACCUUGGCGAUUGACGUUACCCGCAGAAGAAGCACCGGCUAACUCCGUGCCAGCAGCCGCGGUAAUACGGAGGGUGCAAGCGUUAAUCGGAAUUACUGGGCGUAAAGCGCACGCAGGCGGUCUGUCAAGUCGGAUGUGAAAUCCCCGGGCUCAACCUUGGAACUGCAUUCGAAACUGGCAGGCUAGAGUCUUGUAGAGGGGGGUAGAAUUCCAGGUGUAGCGAUGAAAUGCGUAGAGAUCUGGAGGAAUACCGGUGGCGAAGGCGGCCCCCUGGAAAAAGACUGACGCUCAGGUGCGAAAGCGUGGGGAGCAAACAGG